AUCCAGCUGAUGAAUCCCAAAUAGAACGAAACACGAGUCCUAGAC
rfam:Schistosoma curassoni strain Dakar, Senegal genome assembly, scaffold: SCTD_scaffold0002694